AUUACAAAUCACUGCAUCGCGCAAGGGAGACGCACACACUCUCGACAGCACCGACAGGUUGCCCCACCGCCGCCAUCGCUAGUAACGCACAUCUACCAACAACAACCAAUGUCUCGAGUAAACCCAACACAGCAACAGGCGCGCAAAUUACCCAAUCUAGACAGUAGGAGGUGGUGAAGAGAAUUACUAAGUGGUGGUUCAUUGAACUAUCAACUUGGAAUGAACGUAACUUAAGCAAUUCGAUGAGAAACAACUGGAGGGCAAGUCCUGGUGCCAGCAGCCGCGGUAAUUCCAGCUCCAGUAGUUUGCUUUAAAGUUGUUGCGUUUAAAACGCUCGUAGUUGGAUCACGCAGCAGUCUUUAGUUAUCUAUUCACAAGUAAGGUGAUACUUAUGCUCGUGUGUGACGACUUAGCUGAUCCUUACUAUGGUAGAUGUUUCAGCUGACCGCUGUUAAUUGCACGUGAGAUGGAUUGUUGACCUUAAAUGUGUCGGUAAUCCCGUCAUGGGGAGUCUGCCUUGAAUUAAACACAGUGCAUUAAGGAGGCUUAUUGCUGUAUGUUAUUGCAUCGUACGAUCAAUCGUGUCUACGUGGACAACUGUCAUAUCAUGAUUCGCCUAUGGGUAGAUAUUGUUGGGAGUGUGUACAUCAGCCACCAAAGUAUGGCUGUUGGUUCCAUAUACGGUGAUGAUUAACAGGAGCGGUUGGGGGCAUCAGUAUUUGGGCGCGAGAGGUGAAAUUCUUGGACGGGCGAGGACUUACAAAUGCAUAGGCACUUGUCCAGACGGUUUCCAUUAAUCAAGAACGAAAGUGGGAGGUUCGAAGACGAUCAGAUACCGUCCUAGUUCCCACUGUAAACUAUGCCGACCUGGGAUCAGUCUAGAGAUGUUACAAGCUCCAGAUUGGUCCCCCUGGGAAACCUCAAGUUAUUCGGUUACGGCGAGAGUAUGGUCGCAAGGCUGAAACUUUAAGGAAUUGACGGAAGCGCACCACCAGCGGUGGAGCCUGCGGCUUAAUUUGACUCAACACGGGGAAACUUACCUGGUCCGGACAUCGAUAGGAUACACACACUGAUAGAUCUUUGUUGAUGCGAUGAGUGGUGGUGCAUUGCCGUUCUUAGUUCGUGGAGUGAUCUGUCAGCUUUAUUGCGGUAACGAACGAGACCACAGUCUCCAUUUAAGAAACAGAAGUAGACGACUAGUUGAUGCGGCUUGCUGCGCCAGUUGGUUGUUGUUAGUAG
rnacentral:rRNA from 1 species